rnacentral:pre_miRNA from 1 species
UUAACUCGAGUUUGUAUGGAGUUGGAACGUUUGCCUACGUGUGCCGCUAGAGGCGCUGUUCCACCUCCAUACGAAUUUCCAUCCA